AUGCACCCUAGACCAAUACUUCUGAAAAUCACUUAUAUAAGAACGGGCACACCCUACUGGGGCCAAAAACAAACAAAAGAAAAUAUGAGCUUCAAGAGUAACAGGUUUCACCCGUAUGAAAUGUUCCAAAAAAAUCACCCAGUCGGUGGCAAAAUAGCCAAACCAAGGCAUUGGGUGGCAAAGGAAAACCAAUCUCUGAUCCUAGGCAUCAUCCUAAAAAGUAUGAGCUACAAAAAAAUAUCUAAAAAGAGCCUCAGGGAAUGUUUCCAAGAUUUAUACACAACACAUAGUUGGAACACCUUUAUGAUAGCCCAAGCUCCGGGAUGA